rnacentral:rRNA from 1 species
GAUGAACGCUGGCGGCGUGCCUAAUACAUGCAAGUCGAGCGAACAGACGAGGAGCUUGCUCCUCUGACGUUAGCGGCGGACGGGUGAGUAACACGUGGAUAACCUACCUAUAAGACUGGGAUAACUUCGGGAAACCGGAGCUAAUACCGGAUAAUAUAUUGAACCGCAUGGUUCAAUAGUGAAAGACGGUUUUGCUGUCACUUAUAGAUGGAUCCGCGCCGCAUUAGCUAGUUGGUAAGGUAACGGCUUACCAAGGCAACGAUGCGUAGCCGACCUGAGAGGGUGAUCGGCCACACUGGAACUGAGACACGGACCAGACUCCUACGGGAGGCAGCAGUAGGGAAUCUUCCGCAAUGGGCGAAAGCCUGACGGAGCAACGCCGCGUGAGUGAUGAAGAUCUUCGGAUCGUAAAACUCUGUUAUUAGGGAAGAACAAAUGUGUAAGUAACUAUGCACGUCUUGACGGUACCUAAUCAGAAAGCCACGGCUAACUACGUG